rnacentral:rRNA from 1 species
CUACGGGGCGCUGCAGUGGGGAAUAUUGGACAAUGGGCGCAAGCCUGAUCCAGCAAUACCGCGUGUGUGAAGAAGGCCUGCGGGUUGUAAAGCACUUUCAAUUGUGAAGAAAAGCGAGAGGUUAAUAGCCUUUUGUCUUGACGUUAACUUUAGAAGAAGCACCGGCUAACUCUGUGCCAGCAGCCGCGGUAAUACAGAGGGUGCGAGCGUUAAUCGGAAUUACUGGGCGUAAAGCGUGCGUAGGCGGUUUAGUAAGUCAGAUGUGAAAGCCCUGGGCUCAACCUGGGAACUGCAUUUGAAACUGCUGAACUAGAGUGUGGUAGAGGGAAGUGGAAUUCCGGGUGUAGCGGUGAAAUGCGUAGAUAUCCGGAGGAACACCAGUGGCGAAGGCGACUUCCUGGACCAACACUGACGCUGGGGUACGAAAGCGUGGGUAGCAAACAGGAUUAGAUACCCGCGUAGUC